ACUGCUCAGUAACACGUGGAUAACAUGCCCUAAGGUGGGGGAUAAUCUCGGAAAACUGAGGAUAAUACCCCAUAGGUCUGAUCUGCUGGAAUGCUUUCAGGCCGAAAACUCCGGUGCCUUAGGAUUGGUCUGCGGUCUAUCAGGCAGUAGUGGGUGUAACGGACCCACUAGCCCGUGACGGAUAUGGGCCUUGAGAGAGGGAGCCCAGAGAUGGACUCUGAGACAUGAGUCCAGGCCCUACGGGGCGCAGCAGUCGCGAAAACUUCGCAAUGGGGGCAACCCCGACGAGGGAAUUCCAAGUGCCAGCACUUUGUGUUGGCUGUUCUCCUGUCUAAAAAACAGGAGGAGUAAGGGGCGGGUAAGACGGGUGCCAGCCGCCGCGGUAAUACCCGCGCCCCUAGUGGUGGUCGAUAUUAUUGAGCCUAAAACGUCCGUAGCCGGUCUUUUAAAUCCUUGGGUAAAUCGGGCAGCUUAACUGUCCGAAGUCCGGGGAGACUGGAAGACUUGGGACCGGGAGAGGUCAGAGGUACUUCUGGGGUAGGGGUAAAAUCCUGUAAUCCUGGAAGGACCACCGGUGGCGAAGGCGUCUGACUAGAACGGAUCCGACGGUGAGGGACGAAGCCCUGGGGCGCAAACGGGAUUAGAUACCCCGGUAGUCCAGGGUGUAAACGCUGCGGGCUUGGUGUUGGGGGUCCUUAGUGGGCGCCCAGUGCCGGAGAGAAGUUGUUAAGCCUGCUGCUUGGGGAGUAUGUCCGCAAGGAUGAAACUUAAAGGAAUUGGCGGGGGAGCAC
rnacentral:rRNA from 1 species